GCAUUCUAUAUUAGGAGCACGGCGGAAGCAAGAGUUCGUCCCUUCGGGGACAUCCGAUAAAAUUGGAACGAUACAGAGAAGAUUAGCAUGGCCCCUGCGCAAGGAUGACACGCACAAAUCGAGAAAUGGUCCAAAUUUUUUUUUUCCCUGCCCCUCCUACGAUGGACCUGUAGUCGGAGGAUUUCUAUUUCAUCUUCCCUAUUCGAAUCGGGGCGAUAUUGCUUUGGCGUUCCUCCUGAUCUUGGGAUUCCUUGCUUAAUUCCAUUUCUGAGCUCCUUGCUUAGAAUUUCAAUGGCGAAAAUGUGGUUCCUCCUGAUCUUGGGAUUAUUCAAAAGAGGAAGACAAAGAAACCAGCAUUUCUGGUUACAGAGCUUGACCCAAAGAUGAACUAAUACCAACUCAAAAAUCUCCCGUACCUUUGAUCCAUUGAGCGAGAGCCCUUCCACACGGAACUCUCGAAUCACUAUGGGCAACGGAGAGUCCUUCCACGCGGAGCUCCCGGAUCACUAUGGGUGACUAGAGGUAAGCUUGAUGGUGCCAUCUUUGACUUGAAAUGAAACAUACAUUCAUACUGACUUUCUUAAUCAAUUGAUUUGCAGUUUUCAGUUAAGGAUUAUACAUCUUAUGUUAGCUCUAAAGGAAUAUUGGUUUGAUUACUUGCAACCCUUCAUCGCCUCCUUCGAACGGUCGUGGGCUCGCUUUCGCUGUCUGAGACUGGAUGAUUUCUGGGUUGGUAAUGCUCUUUCUUUUUCUUCAGAAACUAUUUCUUUACAUUGGAUAGAUCAAUGGCUACUGAACAUCUCGAAACAAAACCAAUCGGUUCGGUUGAACAUCGAUUUUCAAGUCGAUUGGUUCAGUCGGUUGAACAUCUUGGUAGAUUCCUAUUGAUUGAUUACUGUUUUGGUUGUAUUACAUAUCUAAGCUGAAGAAUUAAAGAGUUCUUCAAAUGAUGUGAAAAGUUAAAGAUUUCUUGUCCUCGUACCAUAUCUAAGCUGAAGAAUUAGAACCCAUUUUUGUAGAAGAAAGAGAGAAAAGAGUUGGGGGAAGUUCAUUCGUUAUGCUCA